rnacentral:misc_RNA from 1 species
CAACUGCUUCUUGCUCAUUUACCUUAUCCCACAAUCCAUCAGAGGCCAUUAUCAAGAACUCGCAAUCGGAAGUUAGUGGAAGACAUUUAAUUUCUGGAUCAGAAAUGACCCAAUCUUUUAAAUGCAGGUCUCCAAUAGCUCUAGAAAUGGCAAGUGAACCUUGAACUCUCCAAAUUCCAUUCCGGCAAUGCACAAAACCUCCAG